rnacentral:rRNA from 1 species
CUAGCUGUAAACGAUGGAUACUAGGCGUUGAGAGUAUCGACCCUCUCAGUGUCGUAGCUAACGCGUUAAGUAUCCCGCCUGGGGAGUACGCGCGCAAGCGUGAAACUCAAAGGAAUUGACGGGGGCCCGCACAGGCGGUGGAGUAUGUGGUUUAAUUCGAUGCAACGCGAAGAACCUUACCAGGGCUUGACAUGUCCGGAACCCUGCCCAAAGGCGGGGGUGCCUACGGGAACCGGAACACAGGUGGUGC